AGAGUUUGAUCCUGGCUCAGAAUCAACGCUGGCGGCGUGCCUAACACAUGCAAGUCGAACGAGAAAGUGGAGCAAUCCAUGAGUAAAGUGGCGACCGGGUGAGUAACACGUGACUAACCUGCCCUUGAGUGGGGGAUAACCUCGGGAAACCGGGGCUAAUACCGCAUAACAUCGCAAGAUCAAAGGAGCAAUCCGCUGAAGGAGGGGGUCGCGGCUGAUUAGCUAGUUGGUGAGGUAACGGCUCACCAAGGCGAAGAUCAGUAGCCGGCCUGAGAGGGCGCACGGCCACACUGGAACUGAAACACGGUCCAGACUCCUACGGGAGGCAGCAGUGGGGAAUUUUGCGCAAUGGGGGAAACCCUGACGCAGCAACGCCGCGUGGAGGAUGAAGUCCCUUGGGAUGUAAACUCCUUUCGAUCGGGACGAUUAUGACGGUACCGGAAGAAGAAGCACCGGCUAACUCUGUGCCAGCAGCCGCGGUAAUACAGAGGGUGCAAGCGUUGUUCGGAAUUAUUGGGCGUAAAGGGCGCGUAGGCGGUGCGGUAAGACUGUGGUGAAAUCUCCGGGCUCAACUCGGAAAUUGCCGCGGUGACUGCCGUGCUCGAGUGUGGGAGAGGUGAGUGGAAUUCCCGGUGUAGCGGUGAAAUGCGUAGAUAUCGGGAGGAACACCUGUGGCGAAAGCGGCUCACUGGACCACAACUGACGCUGACGCGCGAAAGCUAGGGGAGCAAACAGGAUUAGAUACCCUGGUAGUCCUAGCCCUAAACGAUGAUUGCUUGGUGUGUCGGGUACCCAAUCCCGACGUGCCGCAGCUAACGCGAUAAGCAAUCCGCCUGGGGAGUACGUCGCAGACUGAAACUCAAAGGAAUUGACGGGGCCCGCACAAGCGGUGGAGCAUGUGGUUCAAUUCGACCGCACGCGAAGAAACAUUACCUCGGCUCCGAG
rnacentral:rRNA from 1 species